GAAAGAGUGAGGCACAUCUUGAGGAAGUUAGCAAAACAACAGAAGUAGAACAAAAGGCACAUCAUACUGAAGGUAAAAAUAAUUGUUUUCUUUCUUUCUUUCUUUCUUUCUUUUUUUCUUUCUUUCUUUCUUUUACAAUUAUCGUUUUAUUGUAAUAGUCUUUAUUUGUGAUACUAACUUGGUAGUUGCGUUAGCUUUUAUAGAUUUUGAUCCUUGUCCUUUUCGCAGUGGUGUUUGUAGACGAUUGGCAGCUUUACAUCUGUCCACAGAAUGGGAUUGGUGCAAUACUCUGUGGCCCUCCUGAUGUUAUCCACACAGUUGGUGCUCAGCUUUCCCACAGUAUGUAUCAGAGUGAUUGUACAACAUGUGAACACUGUCCUGCUGGAAGUUACACAACUGACUUGAACUAUGAAGAUGAAUGCCAUCGCUGCUUUGGAGACUGCAACCCUAAGUUUCAUCUUAAAGUGGUUCAGAACUGCACCAGUACGUCUGAUAUGAAAUGUGACUGCGAGGAUGGUUUUAGAUGCAUCAGGUGGGCCCAUGACAAAAAGAACUGCUUGUCUUGUGAGAAGAUGCCAGACCCAACCCCAACCAAAGCAGCAGCUACAGAGAUCUCAGUCAGAGAUAAACACACGCCUUUCUCAGUUUCCUCCGGACAUACCAGCACUUCUCCCAAACCCUGCCAAUCUCCAGGGUGUCACCCAACGAAAGAGCCGAAUCCCACGGGAGGUCAUGCCAACCAUUACCUGGCAGCUAUUUUCAUUCCAGUGGGUGUCCUUGCAACUUUGGCCCUUCUCACCUUGUUCUGUGUCUGUCGUCCAAGAGAUGAGACAUAUAUAAGGCAAACUAUUGCAAAGCUCUGGAAUGAGGAAGGGCGAGGUGCUUCUCACAAGUCAAGGGAGCCAACUCAUCAGUUCCCCAGAGACUCAUUCAGUACAAAGCAGCAGCCCUCAACACCUUCAGCAGCCAAUCUUGGUCCAGUCCAUGUGCACAAUCCAGGCACAGUCAUCUUUAGCUUGCUCAGUCAAUUUACGGGUCAAGUCGGGCCAACGACCGAAUGUGGGAAGACGGCUGAGAGAGCGAGGAGAGAGGAAGAGGAUGAGAGAAACUGUCCAGUGUUUCAUCCUGCAUCUUCUCCCAGCAUUCAUCUCUCUGAGGAGGAGAGGAGUGGAGAGAAUGACACCAUUUUCUUCCCUUCCCAGGAGCAGGGGAAAGACUCCCACAUGUCGAAAGAGGAGAUCCUAUGAUGCAUCUCAAAAAAUUCAGAAGACUUGGAUACAACAAACUUUGAAACCACAGAUGAGUAUGGAUCAUAUUCGUCUUUCCUCAGCAAGCUGCGGAUGCACUGACUUUGUUUCUGCAGCUUCUGGAAAACACUCACC
ensembl:lncRNA